rnacentral:rRNA from 1 species
UACGGGGCGCAGCAGGCGCGAAACCUCCGCAAUGGGCGAAAGCCCGACGGGGUCAGUCCGAGUGGCUCCCGCUAAGGGAGUCUUUUGCCAGCUGUAAAAAGGCUGGCGAAUAAGGGGUGGGCAAGUCUGGUGUCAGCCGCCGCGGUAAUACCAGCACCCCGAGUGGUCGGGACGAUUAUUGGGCCUAAAGCAUCCGUAGCCGGUGUAGCAAGUCCUCCGUUAAAUCCACUUGCUCAACAAGUGGGCUGCGGAGGAUACUGCUACACUAGGGGGCGGGAGAGGCGAGGGGUAUUCCACGGGUAGGGGUAAAAUCCUCUGAUCCGUGGAGGACCACCAGUGGCGAAGGCGCCUCGCCAGAACGCGCCCGACGGUGAGGGAUGAAAGCUGGGGGAGCAAACCGGAUUAGAUACCCGGGUAGUCCCAGCCGUAAACGAUGUAGGCUCGGUGAUGGGCUGGCUCCGAGCCAGCCCAGUGCCGCAGGGAAGCCGUUAAGCCUACCGCCUGGGGAGUACGGCCGCAAGGCUGAAACUUAAAGGAAUUGGCGGGGGA